CAGCAGAGUAGAAGCGUUCAGCAGCAUGCCCCGGCCUGGGGCCUGCGCCCGGAAAUUGCUCUGGAC
rnacentral:ncRNA from 1 species